CGCCCCCCGACCCCCGCGGCUCGGGUCCGGUAGGGGCGGGUGGAACACCCGGUGUAGCGGUGGAAUGCGCAGAUAUCGGGGGGAACGCCGGUGGCGAAGGCGGCCCUCUGGGCCGAGACCGACGCUGAGGCGCGAAAGCUGGGGGAGCGAA
rnacentral:rRNA from 1 species